UACGGGGGGGGUAAGCGUUGUUCGGAAUUACUGGGCGUAAAGGGUUCGUAGGUGGCCAACUAAGUCAGACGUGAAAUCCCUCAGCUUAACUGGGGAACUGCGUCUGAUACUGGUCGGCUUGAGUGCAGGAGAGGAACGCGGAAUUCCAGGUGUAGCGGUGAAAUGCGUAGAUAUCUGGAGGAACACCGGUGGCGAAGGCGGCGUUCUGGACUGCAACUGACACUGAGGAACGAAAGCCAGGGGAGCAAACGGG
rnacentral:rRNA from 1 species